GAUCCUGGCUCAGGAUGAACGCUGGCGGCGUGCUUAACACAUGCAAGUCGAACGGAACUACUUUGAUGAGAUUCUUCGGAAAGGAUUUGAUUUAGUUUAGUGGCGGACGGGUGAGUAACGCGUGGGUAACCUGCCCUGUACAGGGGGAUAACAGUCAGAAAUGACUGCUAAUACCGCAUAAGACCACAGCACCGCAUGGUGCAGGGGUAAAAACUCCGGUGGUACAGGAUGGACCCGCGUCUGAUUAG
rnacentral:rRNA from 1 species